rnacentral:lncRNA from 1 species
AUUACUGGAAAAACCAUAGCUUUAACUAGACAGACCUUUGUUGGUAAAGUGAUGUCUCUGCUUUAAUAUGCUGCCUAGGCUUGUUGCAGCACUCAGAAUUUGAGGAACCAGGAUUGACCCUUUCCUCCAACUCUUCUCCCAGUGCACCACUGGUCCGGGAGUCAGGACGAAUGCGUGUCAGCUCUGUCUCUGCCACCUUCCUUGGGAUAUCAGGAAAGCUCUCUUUAGUACCAGUUUCCUCAUCUGACAAACGCAUGGCUCACACUAGGCCUUCCACAAAUCCAGCACUUAGUGAUUCACUAUAUCAUCACCCACUCCUAAUGUUCUGUUUGAGGGAUUUAGUAUUUUUAUCUUCUUUUUUAAAAAAAAUCAGGAAUUUGAGCCUGUAGCCAAUGAACUUUCCUCCCCCGUUAUGAGAAACAAUCCUCAGAAUCCCAAGGAAACCAGGUCCAGGACUUCUCCCAGGGGAGGUUUCUGCAUGCGCAUAACGUACUCUGUCUUAAAAAAAAAAAACAAAACUCUUGACGUCCUUCCCUCCAGUGAAGUCAAUGACUUGCAACUUCCUUUCCCAAGUCCCCACAGAAUUUUAGGCAAAUUAACGCAGGAGCAUUUGAUCUUCUCCCCAGAUGUUUUGAUCACAGAAGGGCCACAUAUGUGCACACAUUCCUGGAUAUUUUUAGGUUUUUUUAUAAGCUCCAAAGUUCUAACUGCUUUUUCACUCCGCGCAUUGUGGGCACUGCCGGGAGAUGUUCCUGCCGAAGCUGCCAAGGCAGGGUCUGGUGGAAGGGGGCCUGGCCCGGGAAGGCUCCCGGAAGUUGCUCUGAGCGAUCCUGGAUGCUGCAUGGCUUCAGUCCCUGAGGCCUCUCUGGCCACUAAGAGAACACAAACCGCUGCCAGAGCACAGCCCCACCCUGCAGCUUCCAGAACCCUUGGCUCCGGGACUUUCUCAGGCUCUCCUCUUUGCAUUGUCAAAACGGAACAGACUGCGCAGAAGGAACGUGUUUGGUGCUGA